rnacentral:lncRNA from 1 species
ACACCAGCCAGUCAUCACACCAGCCAGGGUCAUCACAACAGCCAGGGUCAUCACAACAGCCAGGGUCAUCACUCCAACCAGGGUCAUCACACCAGCCAAACAGCCACCACACCAGCCAGGGUCAUCACAACAGCCAGGGUCAUCAAACCAGCCAGGGUCAUCACAACAGCCAGGGUCAUCACAACAGCCAGGGUCAUCACACCAGCCAGGGUCAUCACAUCAGCCAGGGUCAUCACACCAGCCAGGGUCAUCACAUCAGCCAGGGUCAUCACAACAGCCAAACAGCCACCACACCAGCCAGGGUCAUCACAACAGCCAGGGUCAUCACACCAGCUAAACAGCCAUCACACCAGCCAGGGUCAUCACAAGAGCCAGGGUAAUCACACCAGCUAAACAGCCAUCACACCAGCCAGGGUCAUCACAACAGCCAGGGUCAUCACAAGAGCCAGGGUCAUCACACCAGCUAAACAGCCAUCACACCAGCCAGGGGCAUCACAACAGCCAGGGUCAUCACUCCAGCCAGGGUCAUCACAAUAGCCAGGGUCAUCACUCCAGCAGGGUCAUCACAACAGCCAGGGUCAUCACAAGAGCCAGGGUAAUCACACCAGCUAAACAGCCAUCACACCAGCCAGGGUCAUCACACCAGCCAAACAGCCAUCACACCAGCCAGGGUCAUCACAACAGUCAGGAUCAUCACACUAGCCAGGGUCAUCACAGCAGCCAGAGUCAUCAAACAGGCCAGAAUCAUCACACCUGCCAGAAUAAUAACACUAGCCAGGGUCAUCACACCCUCCACAGUCAUCACAACUUCCAGAGUUACACACUAGCUAGAGUCAUCACACCAGCCAGAGGGCAGCAGGAGGGGGUCAGGGAAGGGAAGAUGAUUCAUCGGGCACAGGCCAAAAGGAGUGAAAAUAAAAAUAAGGAAGAGCUGGAGGGAUGUGAAGAUGGUAUAUUAUUUUUAUUGAGACAGUGUCUCGCAAUAUUGCCCAGGCUGGAGUGCAGUGGCUAUUCACAGGCCUGA